rnacentral:rRNA from 1 species
CCUCGCAGCUACCAUGCAAGUCGAGGGGUAACAGGGGAGAGCUUGCUCUUUCGCUGACGACCGGCGCACGGGUGCGUAACGCGUAUACAACCUACCUUUUGGAGGGGAAUAGCCCAGGGAAACUUGGAUUAAUGCCCCAUAGUAUGGGAAUAUCUCCUGAUAUUUUCAUUAAACAUUUAUGGCCAUUAGAUGGGUAUGCGUCCUAUUAGUUAGUUGGUAAGGUAACGGCUUACCAAGGCAGCGAUAGGUAGGGGUCCUGAGAGGGAGAUCCCCCACACUGGUACUGAGACACGGACCAGACUCCUACGGGAGGCAGCAGUGAGGAAUAUUGGACAAUGGGCGAGAGCCUGAUCCAGCCAUGCCGCGUGCAGGAAGACUGCCCUAUGGGUUGUAAACUGCUUUUACAGAGGAAGAACCACUCCCACGUGUGGGAGUUUGACGGUACUCUGCGAAUAAGGAUCGGCUAACUCCGUGCCAGCAGCCGCGGUAAUACGGAGGAUCCAAGCGUUAUCCGGAAUCAUUGGGUUUAAAGGGUCCGUAGGCGGGCAGUUAAGUCAGUGGUGAAAGUCUUCCGCUCAACGGGAGAACUGCCAUUGAUACUGAUUGUCUUGAGUUAUUAUGAAGUGGUUAGAAUGAGUAGUGUAGCGGUGAAAUGCAUAGAUAUUACUCAGAAUACCGAUUGCGAAGGCAGAUCACUAAUAAUAUACUGACGCUGAUGGACGAAAGCGUAGGUAGCGAACAGGAUUAGAUACCCUGGUAGUCUACGCCGUAAACGAUGGUUACUAGCUGUUCGGCCCGAUUAAGGGCUGAGUGGUUAAGCGAAAGUGAUAAGUAACCCACCUGGGGAGUACGUUCGCAAGAAUGAAACUCAAAGGAAUUGACGGGGGCCCGCACAAGCGGUGGAGCAUGUGGUUUAAUUCGAUGAUACGCGAGGAACCUUACCAGGGCUUAAAUGUAGUCUGACAGGAGUGGAAACACUUUUUUCUUCGGACAGAUUACAAGGUGCUGCAUGGUUGUCGUCAGCUCGUGCCGUGAGGUGUCAGGUUAAGUCCUAUAACGAGCGCAACCCCUGUGGUUAGUUGCCAGCGAGUAAUGUCGGGAACUCUAGCCAGACUGCCGGUGCAAACCGCGAGGAAGGUGGGGAUGACGUCAAAUCAUCACGGCCCUUACGUCCUGGGCCACACACGUGCUACAAUGGUAGGGACAGAGAGCAGCCACUUCGCGAGAAGGAGCGAAUCUACAAACCCUAUCACAGUUCGGAUCGCAGUCUGCAACUCGACUGCGUGAAGCUGGAAUCGCUAGUAAUCGCAUAUCAGCCAUGAUGCGGUGAAUACGUUCCCGGGCCUUGUACACACCGCCCGUCAAGCCAUGGAAGCCGGGGGUACCUGAAGUCGGUCACCGCAAGGAGCCGCCUAGA